AACGAACGCUGGCGGCAGGCCUAACACAUGCAAGUCGAGCGGACCUUUCGGGGUCAGCGGCGGACGGGUGGGUAACGCGUGGGAAUAUGCCCUUCUCUACGGCAUAUUCCUGGGAAACUGGUGGUAAUACCGUAUCCGCCCUUUCGGGGGAAGAUUUAUCGGGGAAGGAUUAGCCCGCGUUGGAUUAGGUAGUUGGUGGGGUAAUGGCCUACCAAGCCGACGAUCCAUAGCUGGUUUGAGAGGAUGAUCAGCCACACUGGUACUGAGACACGGCCCAGAAUCCUACGGGAGGCAGCAGUGGGGAAUCUUAGACAAUGGGGGCAACCCUGAUCGAGCCAUGACGGGUGAGUGAUGAAGGCCUGAGGGUUGUAAAGCUAGUUAAGCUGGGAAGAUAAUGACGGUACCAGCAGAAGAAGCCCCGGCUAACUUCGUG
rnacentral:rRNA from 1 species